AUUGAACGCUGGCGGCAUGCCUUACACAUGCAAGUCGAACGGUAACGGGCCUUCGGGUGCCGACGAGUGGCGAACGGGCGAGUAAUACAUCGGAACGUGCCCGACCGUGGGGGAUAACGAGGCGAAAGCUUUGCUAAUACCGCAAACGAUCUACGGAUGAAAUACGGGGACCGCAAGGGCUUGCGCGGACGGAGCGGCCGAUGGCAGAUUAGGUGGUUGGUGGGAUAAAAGCUUACCAAGGCGACGAUCUGUACCUGGACUGAGCGGGGGAUCAGCCACACUGGGACUGAGACACGGCCCAGACUCCUACGGGAGGCAGCAGUGGGGAAUUUUCGACAAUGGGCGCAAGCCUGAUCCAGCCAUGCCGCGUGCGGGAUGAAGGCCUUCGGGUUGUAAAGUGCUUUUGUACGGAACGAAAAGCCUUCUUGUAAUACAGGAGGGUCAUGACGGUACCGGAAGAAUAAGCACCGGCUAACUACGUG
rnacentral:rRNA from 1 species